AGGUUUUCGAAUCCGUGUUGAGAUUUCGUCCGACAGCAACCCAUUAAAGCUGAUCAGACUUCCAAGAUAAGUGAAGUU
rfam:Schistosoma margrebowiei strain Zambia genome assembly, scaffold: SMRZ_scaffold0002813